UCGUUGACUAGCUUUGCAUGGCAGGCUCCCUGCACUUCUGUGCGGCCAACUGUCAUGGGGCGGUCUCUUCGUUGUCCCUUUCGGCUAGUAAUUUGCUGGUUACGGAUGUAUGCUAUCGGUUGCCUGUGCGGUUCUACCCUUGUGGGUAGCACGAUUGUCCCGUCGUUGCCUAUGCAGCUUGCUCUGUUGACGCUUUUCAGUUGACAGGGCGGCCGAAGGUUCAGCAAAUUCCAUGUGCUGCCGUGGGCGUUAGCCUUGGUACUGCGCUUGGAUGUUUGUUGGGUCUCAUGGAUGCGGUGCCUAUCGUGAGCUCUAUGGGCUUUGUGCCCGCAGAACCUGUGAGAUUGCCCCUACAUAGGAUCGUUGCUCUGUCGCUUCACCGACGUGUCGUUUUUUUAAGCGUCAUGUUGGAGUGCUGCUAUCAGGGUGCUAUUCUUUGCAUGUGGCAUGCCUCUUAGACCCGAAUGACUUGCGAUUGCUGGUUUGCGUUGUCACAAGG
rnacentral:misc_RNA from 1 species